rnacentral:lncRNA from 1 species
GACCAAUCAGCAAGAUGUGGGUGGGGCCAGAUAAGGGAAUAAAAACAGGCUGCCUGAGCCAGGAGAGGCAACUCACUGGCGUCCUGUUCCAUGCUGUGGAAGCUUUAUUCUUUCAGUCUUUGCACUAAAUCUUGCUGUUGCUCACUCUUUGGGUCUGUGCCGCCUUUGUGAGCUGUAACACUCACCGCAAAGGUCUGCAGCUUCAUUUCUGAAGCCAGCGAGACCAUGAACCCACUGGGAGGGACAAACGACUCUGGAUGGGAGGAAUGAACAAAUGCAGACUUGCUGCCUUCAAUAGCUGUGACACUGCGAAGGUCUGCAGCUUCACUCCUGAAGUCAGUGAGACCAAGAACCCACCAGAAGGAAGAAACUCCAGACACACCAUCUUUAAGAACUGUAACACUCACCGCAAGGGUCCGCAGCUUUAUUCUUGAAGUCAGUAAGACCAAGAACCCACCAAUUCCGGACACACAGCCAUGGGAAAAGGAUGGAGUUAUGACUGAUACAAAAGGAAUCGUUCAUCUCUGCAAACUAAUUUUAGUUCAUCUUCGUCUCGAUGGCCAAAAUCUCAAUAAAUCCCUGGCAGGUAUUAUGCGUGAAUAGAUGGCACUACAUGACAAAAGUUGAGUACCACUGAUUGGCAAGCCCGUCUCUUUUCACAUGACUCCAAAUUUGGCAAUUGUCAGCAGAUGUAUGAAGUUGUGGGAAGACACCAAUGACCCAUCUCAUCUUCCUUCCCUCUGCAAUUCUCAAACGCAAAAGGUGCUGUCACUGCCAUAUGGUGCUGCUGUGAAAACAGGAAGAUUAGAUGCUGACUUUAUUCACUGCAACAGUGAUAUCUCUUCUGAUCAGAUGGUAGCUUCUCAGAGUGUACAGGGAAAAGCAAAGUCUCAGAUCCCAGGGGUCACGGAACAAUGGCAGUUCUGCUGGAAUUGUUCAGAGGAGGUUAUUUGCCUGGCCUCAAGUUUUAGUGUCAGCAGCACAUGAAAACAAGCCUCGGCAAAGGAACAAAUGACCAAGAUGCUUCUAGUAAGGACCUUGAUGAGGAUGGAAGUGAAGACAAAAGGGAAGCUAUGAGACUUGAAAUAUGAUGCACCAUUCCACAGUUUUGAAUGUGGUCCUGUGGGAGAAUAAAGACUGUUGUUUAUUUACAUUAAUUUGACAGUCACAGAUUAUUUAAGAGUUCUGAUUGCCUGCAUGCAAUCAUGCAUGCAUUUGAUAAACACACCCUGAGAUAUUUGGGCUAAGUCACCUUCUUAAUCCAAGUUUGUGGUAAAAGUUUAUCCUGUAUUUUAGAUAUCCUUAAUAACUGAGAAAGACUGAUUAUGGCAAGAGGUAUUAUUCGAUGCAACUAAUGAUCAAGGAAUUUAAGAAGAGGGUGCAGAUAGAGAUUCUUUACAUUAACUUGUAGCAGUAGCUUUAAGGAAUUCUUUAGAUUUAAAGUGACUUCUUUCACAAAUAGGAAAGUAAAGGACAGCAGCCAGAGGUCUAAAUGUCAUUUGUUCGAGAACAAUAUACAAAAAGUAUCAGAAAUCAGUUUCUUUGCAUUAAGAAGUAUAUGUGAUAAGGUGAAAGUUUCUUAGAUCUGCAUAUUAAAAGCAAUGGCACUCGGUGCCAAAAAUGACUAUGUAUAAGGCAGAAUCUUAUCAACUACAAUAAAUAGAACAAAAAAAACAUGAAAGCAUAACUCUAGUUGGCAUCAAAAUCUACUAGGCUAAGUCUAUAAGCGCAAAUGUGUAUGUUAAUUGCUAAUAUGUCUCACUUAGCUGAAUGCGCCAGUAUGUUCGGAAUCCAAGUCAUUCAGCUCUGCACUACUUCAGUGAAGCUGAAGUGGUUGCAGUGGAAGCACACACUUAGGUCUCCCAGGACAACCAAAAACACAUGCACUUGCCCAUCAUCUUGAUGUUUUCCUAAAGAAAUAUAACCCCUAUUUAAAACAGCCCUUAGGUCUAAUGAAAAUCUAUGACAUAUAUAUUCAGAUAUAUGUAAGGCUGCAUUUUCCAGCCCACCACCUUUUCCCAACAUAAAUCCCCAAAGAUUUUAACUGCGUUCCUUUUUCAGCAUAGAAGAGUUAUGUUCUUAAUUACUGGCAUUGGAACAGUGAUUUUUCAGGAGGGAGUAGGGAGUGAGAGAGUGGAAGGUGAAAGAAGGCAUAUUAGAAUUACCAAGGGAGAAUUUUCAAACUACCUCACAUCCCCACUUCCUGACUUUGGGAGUCUGAUGUGUGCCUCAGGAGUCUUGGGACCUAGGGGUGUGGAGAGGGGGAUGCAGCUUGUUGGAGCCUCUGUGAUCCAGUUCUGUUCCCACACCUUCCCUCAUUUAGAAUUCCUGAAGUGAAGGAAAACACACUUCUUUGAAAUAUUUUUUAAAGGUGGACUCCUGAGGGAACAAAUAAAACAAAGUAAUCAGCGGAACAGUCUCAAUGUUCCUGACUGAGAUUGAACCAAAUGAUCCUGAGCAUUCUUCUUCACACCUUUGUUAUCUCAGAAAAGAACAAGCUGUAACAACUUUCUCCCUUGACCGUCACAUUCUAGGUAACAAUGUCUCAGAAUGCUCAAUGGUACUGGAGGGUUUAUGCUGAAUGCCUCUUACUGAGGUCUUCAUCAAGUAUUAAUGCAAAUAAAAAUUUUAAUAUUAUUAUCUAAAUAUAAUGCUCUAAAUCUCACCCCC